rnacentral:tRNA from 1 species
GCCUGGAGGGCUCAACGGGUAGAGCAUGUGACUUGUGAUCUCGGGGUCGUGAGUUUGAGCCCCACGCUGGGUG